UACGGCCUUGUCACCAAUAAGUAAGUCUGUUCAGAAGUGAGAAUUUAGAAACCAGCAUGAUUUAGGAAUGUUCACAAUAUAAUACUUUUUUUUUUUCCUCCAGGGUUAUUGCUGGGGCUCAGUGCCUGCACCAUGAAUCCACUGCUCCUGGAGACCAUUUUUCCCCUCUUUUGUUGUUCUUGUUGUUUUUAUCAUUGUUGUGGUUAUUACUAUUGUUGUUGUUGUCAUCGUUGGAUAGGACAGAGAGAAAUCAGGAGAGAAGGGGAGACAGAGGGGGAGAAAAAGAUAAGACACCUGCAGACCUGCUUCACUGCCUGUGAAGCGACUCCCCUGUAGGCGGGGAGCUGGGGGCUCAAACCGGGAUCCCUAUUCUGGUCCUUGCACUUCGCACCAUGUGCACUUAACCCAUUGCUCUACCGCUCAACUCCCAAUAUACUACUUUUUAAAUACUAUUAAUGAGAAGGGAGUUAAAGAGAAAAAGAAUAGUUUAUAUCUUUGAUAAAACUUUGGUUAAAAAAAAAGACUGGUUUGAACCACACUAUGUUGAGCCCUAACUUAAUAACAUUAAAGAUAUAACAUUACUAUCUGUCGGCAAUACACUAUGGUUUGUCUGACAUUAGCAACUCAACUUACUUUCGAGUUCAUUAAAUAGUGUUAUUUUCAUUUGUUUGCUGUUAGCUAACACUAAAUCAUUAAUAUGUUAAAGAUAAGUGCUAUUAUUAUGUGAAAUGUGAACUGUUCUUAUUUUAUAGAUGAAGAAACUGAGAAUUUCAGUGAUUAAUUUGUCAGCAAUGUAACGGGGGUGGUCCGUGAGGUAGUGCAGUGAUAAAGCUUUGGACUCUCAAGGAUGAGGUCCCGAGUUCGAUCCCCAGCAGCACAUGUGCCAGAGUGAUGUCUGGUUCUUUCUCUCUCCUCCUAUAUUUCUCAUAAAUAAAUUAAAACAUCUUUUAAAAAGGGGAAAAAAUGUGGCUGGAAAGAAGCAAAGUUGGGUUUUAAACCCAAAUCAAUACUUGACACUAAACAAACUUCUACUGUCUUAUGUUACACAGAAGACAAUGUAUACAUUUCAUGUUUCUCUGUAAUAAAAAAAAAAUCUGUUUAUUUUUUUAUAACCUAUUUUAAACUCUCAUUCCUGGAAGGAAAUGAGUCAUUGCUCACAAAGAAAUUUAAAUAACUCUUCCCAAAAGUAACAUCAAGUGUCCUUUUCUAGGUUUUUAUACUCAGUAAAGAAAGCCUGAAAUAAGAAAUGAUCAUUGCAACAGCCAAUUCUUAUUAUAACUUAUGAUUACAGAACUUUGUUUUGGAGGUGGAUCCCUGCAAUCUAUAUUCCUAUGAAGCCCCAUAUGUGACUCUAAACCAUAAUCAAAUCUGACUAGAUAAUAUUGGACUAAAAACAACCGAAGGCUCACAAAAGUAUCCAGUUUCUUAAAUUUAUUAUUUUUUUUCUUCAAAAAGUCUCAAAUAUUUUAUUCAUUCAUAAUAUAUGGAACUUAAGGCUUUUCAAUUACUAUGUAAUAUUGUAUGUAAGAGAAAGAUAGGCUAGUUAUAACAGUAUUGACUUUAUGUAUUAUUUUGGGGGAAUUUGACAUCUUUAUGACAGUAAGCCACUGCAUCUAGAAUAAUAGUUUUCAUUUACUUAUGUCUUAUCUAGCAUUUUCCAAGAAUAUUUAUACAACUUUUUCAUAUAUGUCCUUCAAAUUCUUACUAAUUAUGUACCAAAUCACAUCCUAGCAUUAGUCACCUGAAUGAACUGUUCUUCCCAACUCCUUGGUGCUUUUGUGUGCUUGAACAGAGUAUGAUGACUUAAGUAAUUUAUUUUUUAUUCACCAAAUUUUCCUGUCUCUUCUUUUUUCAUGGGGUUUUCUUGGUUUUCUAAUAAAGCAGGCAUGUCAUCAGCAUCUAGAACUUAAUCUCUUUUUCCAUUAUUUAUACCAUUUAUGUUCUUUAUACUUCUGGAAUUGCCAGUGCAAGCAAUUAUGGUGAUGCCUGUCUGAUUUCUGCUUUUAAAUGAUAGUCAAUGUUAUCAUUUAAGAUCAUUUUUGUUAGUGAAUUUGUCUUUAUUAUAUAAAUACUCUCCUUCUGUUCAUUCUUUUUUCCUUUGGCAUAGGUUGCUUGACCUUUAUCUGAUGUAUUUUCAUGACCUAUUGAUAAUGGUUGAAUUUUACACCCUUUAAUUUUUAAUGUAAUCAAUGUGUAUAUAAGCUUCUUGGCACUGAAUUGCCUUUUUCAAUCCUUUAGUAAAAUCUGUAUUACCAUGGUGUAUUACUCUUUUGAUUCAUUCCUUUAUGAUAGCCUCUAAUAUAUUAUUUAAACAUUUGGAAUCUCUAGUUCUGGGUAAAAUUGGCCUGAACUUUUAUUUGCUAUUGUUGCUUGCUUUCUCAUGUUGGUAUUAAAUUAUUUCGACUUCAUAAAAUUAACUGGGUAAUUUUUAAUUUUUUUCUAUGACCAAUGAUAGUUUAAAUACUAUUGGAAUUAUUUAGUCUUUGAUGAUAAAAUUAAAAAUUCAGCUGUGUACCUAUUUACCUGCUGUCUCUUUCAAUAGAUUAUUAAUAAUUUUUCCCCAAUUUCUUCUACAAUAACUAGUCUAUGCAAGCUUUUACUUUUUCUAUGUUAAUUAUGAUAACGAAGGUCUUCCUAAGAAAGCAUUCAUUCCUUCUAGGCUUAAUUUUCUCUAGUGCACUGCUACAAAAUCAUGUUAAAUAUUAGAAAUAUUUUGAGCCCUUUCCAACUUUCACUUUGUUUUUCUUAUUGAACUUUAUUUCACUCUCUUUUCCUUACAGGAAUUACAUGGUGUUGAUCUAGGUUACUGAUCUUUUUAAAAGAGACAGUCUGGAGCCUUGUGGUGGAGCAUCAGGCAAUGUAAUACGCUCAAAGAUUCUGGGAACUAGGACAUGGUCAUCUUUGGGGAAGGCAUUAUUCUGCCUACACUAGUCACGAGGUUCCAGAUGCUAGCAUGAUGCCAACCAGACUUCUCUGGAGAGACAACCCCACCACUGUGUCCUGGAGCUUCUCCAGAACCCCACCCCACUAGGGGAAGAGAAAGGCAGGCUGGGAGUAUGGAUCGACCUAUCAACGCCCAUGUUCAUCUGGGAAGCAAUUACAGAAGCCAGACCUUCCACCUUCUGCAUCCCACAGAGAACCUAAUGGGGGUUGGUUGUAUUGUCAUCUGGAAAACUGAGAAAUGUUAUGCAAACUAUUAUAUUUGCUGUUGAAUGUAAAACACUAA